rnacentral:rRNA from 1 species
ACAGAGGGUGCAAGCGUUAUUCGGAAUCACUGGGCGUAAAGCGCAUGCAGGUGGGUUAUCAAGUCAGAUGUGAAAUCCCGGGGCUUAACUCCGGAACUGCAUUUGAAACUGAUAGUCUAGAGUCUGUGAGAGGAAGGCGGAAUUCCAGGUGUAGAGGUGAAAUUCGUAGAUAUCUGGAGGAACAUCGGAGGCGAAGGCGGCUUUCUGGUACAGAACUGACACUCAGAUGCGAGAGCGUGGGUAGCAAACAGGAUUAGAUACCCUGGUAGUCCACGCUGUAAACUAUGUUAACUAGCCGUUUGAGGAAUUGACCCCUUGAGUGGUGUAGCCAACGCGUUAAGUUAACCGCCUGGGGAGUACGGUCGCAAGAUUA